rnacentral:lncRNA from 1 species
UGGACUUAUUUGCAAAGUUACACCUUAGUAUUUAUAGCUUUCUAGGGUUUGGUGCCACCUAACCCUAAUCCUAGCCCUAGCCAACCACCCAGCCGCCUCCCUCUCCUUCCCCUGCACCUGCUGCGCGCGCCCAGGCCGCCGCCGACCGAGCCCCGGCCGGCCAACCACCGCGGCAGCCUCUACCUCUCCCUCUCUCCCUCUCUUUCUCUCUCCCUCUCUCCUCUCGGGUUGUGAGGAGACCCGAGACUGCCGCCACCUUCGGACCCUCCCUUGGUGUCGCCCCGUGCUCCGGCGAUCAUCCCCGCCGACCGCCGCCGUCGCCUGCGCCGCCGCUGCCACCCCGGGCCGCAUCUGCUAGCCCGGGCCGAGCCUGACCGAGCUGGGUUGCACUACCUGCCCGCGCGCCGCCACCGCCUGGAAACCCUCCCGCCGACCUCCCCCGUGCCCGGGCGCCCCUUCCCGCCGGUCGCCGCCGCCCCGACGCGCCGCCGUCGCCGCCUCGGCCAGCCGCGGCCGCCCAGCCCGAGCCCAGGCUGUUGUUGUUUGCGGUCUCUUUCCCGCGCCGCCGCCGCUUGGGUCCGCACCCGAGGAGUCCCUCCGACCUCCUGCCACCCUCCUCCGCCGUCCCCGACCUUCCCCGGCCGCCGCCGUGGCCGGAGAAACCCGCCGAGCCCGAGCUUCUCUCUUGCGGGCUCGGGUUGCUCCGCCGACGCCGCCGCCGCUUCUCGUCGCCAACCGAGGUGAGCACGGUGUUCCUCACCUCCCCCGCACCCGCCCCUGGCCCCCGCGCGCGCCGCCGUGCCGCCGGAAGCCGGCCGGAGCAAGGUUGCUCCGGCCAAGCCCGAAAUAGGACUUUGUUUGGGGUGUUUGUUGUUCUGGGCUUUCCGAGCCUCCCCGAUCUCUACGGAAGGGAGCACGAUGAUCCUGGCAAGUUGCUGAUCAUCGUGCUCACCUUGGUUUCUGUCGGGAAGGCCCCGUUCCGCUGUUUUGGCGAUGUCGCUCCGUUUCAGCCUUUUUGGCUGCUGUUUCGGGUUUGUGCUUGUUUUUCCGGCGAUC